AUCUCUUCUUGGCCUUUUGGCUAAGAUCAAGUAGUGUCUGUUCUUACCAGCUUAAUAUCUGCUAUGUCCUCUAUCAGAGGACACAAUAUUAAGACACUAUGUCCUCUAUCAGAGGACACAAUAUUGGAGAUAGGAGAUGGAAUAGAGGCUCCAACCACGCCACACAUCGACCUGGUAUUGUAGUACUUCCAGGAAGGCUGCACCCUUC
rnacentral:snRNA from 1 species